rnacentral:rRNA from 1 species
UACGUAGGGUGCAGGCGUUAAUCGGAAUUACUGGGCGUAAAGCGUGCGCAGGCGGUCUCUUAAGACAGGUGUGAAAUCCCCGGGCUUAACCUGGGAACUGCGCUUGUAACUGAGAGGCUUGAGUGUGCCAGAGGGGGGUGGAAUUCCACGUGGUAGCAGUGAAAUGCGUAGAGAUGUGGAGGAACACCGAUGGCGAAGGCAGCCCC